rnacentral:rRNA from 1 species
UACGAAGGGGGCUAGCGUUGUUCGGAUUUACUGGGCGUAAAGCGCACGUAGGCGGAUCGUUAAGUCGGGGGUGAAAUCCUGGAGCUCAACUCCAGAACUGCCUUCGAUACUGGCGAUCUUGAGUCCGGAAGAGGUGAGUGGAACUCCUAGUGUAGAGGUGGAAUUCGUAGAUAUUAGGAAGAACACCAGUGGCGAAAGGCGGCUCACUGGUCCGGUACUGACGCUGAGGUGCGAAAGCGUGGGGAGCAAACAG